CCCAUGCCGAACUCAGAAGUGAAACGCCGUAGCGCCGAUGGUAGUGUGGGGUCUCCCCAUGCGAGAGUAGGGAACUGCCAGGCA
rnacentral:rRNA from 4 species